CCCGGGAAGCUGAGAGGCCUCAGAGAAGAAUGAAAACAAGAAUUAUCUGAUUGCUUGGGAAUGUGGGCUGAGGAUCAUUUACCAACAGAAAGGCAAUGUGUUUUGUGUUGGAUCAUGUUUGUUCUCAGAGUAAGAGCUUUCAGUGCUCACCCACUGCUAUCCAUGGAUUGGGAAUGGCACUCCUCUGGAUCCAGGGUACCCUCACACUCCUGCUGGGCAGGUAAAUCUGCAAUCUGAAGAACCAAAGGCUGCUGGGAUGGAAUGGGUUGGGUGGGAAGGGACCCAAGCUGAUCCCAUUCCAGCCUGCCCUGGCAGGGACACCUCCGUCCCUGUGAAAUGGUGAUUGAUCCCUCAGGAGACUCGUGGGACAGCGAGGGCAGGAUGUGGAGGCAGAGGAAGAGGAGAGCU